rnacentral:rRNA from 1 species
CUGACCGUGCAAAGGUAGCAUAAUCAUUUGCCUUAUAAUUGAAGGCUAGUAUGAAUGGUUUGACAUGAAUGUAGCUGUCUCUUUAUAAUUUAAUAGAAUUUUAUCUUAGGUGAAGAAGCCUGAAUUAAUUAAAAGACAAGAAGACCCUAUCGAGCUUGAAAAAAAUUGAUGGAAUUAAAGUCAAUAUAGUUAAAAGAUUAUCUAUCACAUAUUUUAGUUGGGGCGACUAAGGAACAUAAAAAGCUUCCUUUAAAAUAUUAGUUUAAGUCAAACUAGAAUUGAUCCAAAAUAUUUUGAUUAAAGGAAUUAGUUACCGUAGGGAUAACAGCAUUAUCUUUUUUAAGAGCUCAUAUCGAAAAAAAGGUUUGUGACCUCGAUGUUGGACCAGAAUAUCCUAAAGGUGCAGCAGCC